rnacentral:tRNA from 1 species
CCAUUUGUAGUAUAAAAAAUACAUUUACUUUUCACGUAGAAGAUUGUUUAAUAGAUGGU